UUCGGAUAUAUAUAAAAGCUUCGGCAUUUACUUGUGCGCUAUCCCAGCUUUGCCAUAAGAGCCACUGGUCACGCUGAAAUGAAAGCAACGAAGGCUGCGGUUUUUCUUUUCCUUGCAAUUUCGUUCACGUUGCUAACUGAAUGCUCAUCCAAAGGUCGCUGUGGGCAACAGUGUGGCGUCACCGCUGCAGGUGUAGAGUUUGGCUGUCCUGGUGAUUGCAAAUGUAUAACUCUAGACUGGGGCACCGGCCGCAAUGGCGGCAGCGGAAAGUGCUUUCCUAAAGGAAUCUGAAUUAUUCAACAAGAACGUAAUAAAUAAAGUGGCAAUAUGUACUGGAAAUCAGAAA